AAAACCGGAUCGGUGACUCUGAUCGGGCUUUUCAAAAAUCGAUCCGGAUCGGCGAAUCGGCGAUCCGGAUCGGAAUCGGGUGAAUCGGUCAGAAUAAAGCUUCAAAAAAAUCCGAAAAAAUUAUUAAAAUUCAUUAUAAAUAUUGUUUUUUAGGAAUUCAAUAAAAAAUGAGGGUACUCCAUUAAGAAUUUUCAUGUUUUUGAAUGAAUAUGCGAAUAUUGAUAUGUUCUUCCCUUGCAUGAACCGCCAUUCAACAUUUAAUUUACAUCACACAAAAGGAUAAACAUAGAAUUAUCAUGGAAUAAGUAUAUCAGCAUACAUGGACUACAAU
rnacentral:lncRNA from 1 species